GCUGCCAUACUCGCGGGCUCAUGUGGGUGGGCAGGCAGACCCCAAGGAGCCAUCACGGGCAAGGGCUGGAGUUUGAUUACGUCAGAUCUGUGUGUGUGUGUGUGCGUGUGUGUGUGUGUGUGAGAGAUAUGUGGGGUGUAACUGUGUUUGAUGGGGUUUUCUUUUGGCAGCUGGAUGUGAGAGAUCAAUGUAUGUUUUGUUUGGAAGAGGAGAGGGGAAUUGUGUUGAAGGCCUACGUGUGUUCUUGGUUUGUGAAGGACUCUGUGCUCAACUCUCACUGCCCCCUCAGCAACUGCAGCUUUCUGCCGAGGCCUUGGCCCGGUCAUUCUUGUCCAGUUUGAUAGGUUCAGGAAAUUCGUUGUAC
rnacentral:lncRNA from 1 species